GACGAACGCUGGCGGCGUGCUUAACACAUGCAAGUCGAGCGGAAAGGCCCUUUCGGGGGUACUCGAGCGGCGAACGGGUGAGUAACACGUGAGUAACCUGCCCUGGACUUUGGGAUAACCCUCGGAAACGGGGGCUAAUACCGGAUAUGACAUGGUUUCGCAUGAAAUUGUGUGGAAAGUUUUUCGGUCUGGGAUGGGCUCGCGGCCUAUCAGCUUGUUGGUGGGGUGAUGGCCUACCAAGGCGACGACGGGUAGCCGGCCUGAGAGGGCGACCGGCCACACUGGGACUGAGACACGGCCCAGACUCCUACGGGAGGCAGCAGUGGGGAAUAUUGCACAAUGGGCGGAAGCCUGAUGCAGCGACGCCGCGUGAGGGAUGACGGCCUUCGGGUUGUAAACCUCUUUCAGCACCGACGAAGCGAGAG
rnacentral:rRNA from 1 species